rnacentral:rRNA from 1 species
UACUAAUGGGGCUAGCGUUGUUCGGAAUUACUGGGCGUAAAGCGCACGUAGGCGGAUAUUUAAGUCAGGGGUGAAAUCCCGCAGCUCAACUGCGGAACUGCCUUUGAUACUGGGUAUCUCGAGUAUGGAAGAGGUGAGUGGAAUUCCGAGUGUAGAGGUGAAAUUCGUAGAUAUUCGGAGGAACACCAGUGGCGAAGGCGGCUCACUGGUCCAUUACUGACGCUGAGGUGCGCAAGCGGGGGGAGCACACAGGAGUAGAUCACCGGGUAGUCC